rnacentral:sRNA from 1 species
CAGGAAGAAACACUUUAGCCCAGAAAGCUGCCCAUGCCGUGUGCAAAUCUGCCCCCUCCUCUCCAGUAACAUUCCCACUUUCUCAUUCUUAGAGUGAAGAGGACAGGAAGAAUGUGCUGAGAUUGCAGGAUCUGGUGGAUAAACUGCAAGUAAAAGUCAAGUCCUACAAGAGGCAGGCGGAGGAGGCUGAUGAACAAGCCAAUGCUCAUCUCACCAAAUUCCGAAAGGCUCAGCAUGAGCUGGAGGAGGCCGAGGAACGUGCGGAUAUCGCAGAAUCUCAAGUGAACAAGCUCCGCGCUAAGACUCGAGACUUCACCUCCAGCAGGAUGGUGGUCCACGAGAGUGAAGAGUGAGCCAGCCCUUCUGGAGCAGGACAGAAGAUAUGCAAAAUGUAUAUUUUCUUGGUUCCUGACCAUUGAUACUCAAUGUCCAUGUGACUCUUUUUCACAUGCGAUAAACUUUGCUUUGUUUCAAUCUGGG